rnacentral:rRNA from 1 species
UACGUAGGGGGCAAGCGUUGUCCGGAUUUAUUGGGCGUAAAGAGCGUGUAGGCGGCCAUGUAGGUCCGUUGUGAAACCUCCAGCUCAACCUGGAGACGCCACUCGAUACUGCCAUGGCUAGAGUCCGGUAGGGGCCCACGGAAUUCCUGGUGUAGCGGUGAAAUGCGCAGAUAUCAGGAGGAACACCGGUGGCGAAGGCGGUGGGCUGGGCCGGUACUGACGCUGAGGAGCGAAAGCGUGGGGAGCGAACAGG